rnacentral:tRNA from 1 species
GGCCUGGUGGUCUAGUAGUAUGAUUCCUUCUUAGGGCUUCUCGCCACAUUUGGAGGAGGUCCCGGGUUCAAUUCCCGGCCAGGCCC